rnacentral:lncRNA from 1 species
UCUAAUUGCUGAAAAUGGGUUAGCUCGAUUGGACCUAAAUUAGUUAAAUUAAAUUAUAAUCAAAUCAAGUCAACUUACACCUAGACCCACUGCUGGCUAAAUAUGAAACCCAAUAGGUCACACAAAAAAAAAUUAUUAAGAGUCUAAUUGGAUUAGAUCAUGUUUGCAAGAUUAACAUGCUAGCAUGUGUUGCAAACCUUAGCUCCUAAUUUCGAAUCGGAUUCAAAAUUGAUUCUGGAUUGGGCUAAUUAAAUCCAAUUAAGGUCAAAUCAGAUUUAGUCCUGUUGGUGCAAAAAUCUACCUGC